rnacentral:lncRNA from 1 species
CAAAUUGCACUUUCUUGCCAACUUUGUCAUUUGAACCUGAAAACACACGAAAAUAACUUAAAACACUCUAAUAAGUAGAAAUUAGCUAUUUAAAUGCAAGAAAACAAGCCAACUAAGUCGCAUAAAUAUGCUCCUAUCAAUUACCAAUGCAAACAGUAACUAAGAACUCAUUAACAGAUCCUGAAAAAUUACAAGUAACAAAGCAUCAAAACAAAAGAGUAACACAUGGCCAAGGGCUUCAUCGUAGCCCUCUCUUGUUUUAUGCUUGCUUGAAUUUAGUUUUUGGAAUGGAGGAACUUCUCUUCUUGAUUUUAUGCAAUCUUCAACUGAAAGGACUAAGUAUAGCUCUGCCCAGAAUUAUAGCCUAUAAAAAAUUAUCUUUAAAUGAACAGUAUCAAGGCAUAGUCAUAUAUAAUCUUUAGAGAGAUUUUAUUUAAACCCACAUAACCUCUCUCUACACCCAACUUAAACUUUAAAUGUGAAUUGUCUUUUGUACUCUAUUGCAUAAUUACCAUAAAGUACAAGAUGAAGUUAACAAUAAAACUAAAAUCUGUGAAUAAACCCACACUGUGACGACCCAUCCCUAAUUUUACAAUUUUAUAAAUUUCAAAAAAAGUGAAUUUACAAAAUGCCACUAGAGGCGAGAUUGUUGACUUUCGUUGAUCGUCAUUUGUGACGUGUAUGGGCUAUCACUUUACCGUAUUCUCGAAGUACUCAAUAGUACGAACGAGUGCAAGCGAAAUUGAAGCUAAGGUUACGAUAGAGGUUUUACAGAACUACAAAUCUGAAAAGUACUUUUGUAAAAAUUACUAAUUAUUAUUGUAUUUAUUUCUCAUAAUUAUUAUAUUAUUAUUUUAAC